UACGAAGGGGGCUAGCGUUGCUCGGAAUUACUGGGCGUAAAGCGCACGUAGGCGGCUUCUUAAGUCGGUGGUGAAAUCCUGGAGCUCAACUCCAGAACUGCCCUUCGAUACUGGGAGCUCGAGUCCGGGAGAGGUGAGUGGAACUGCGAGUGUAGAGGUGAAAUUCGUAGAUAUUCGCAAGAACACCAGUGGCGAAGGCGGCUCACUGGCCCGGUACUGACGCUGAGGUGCGAAAGCGUGGGGAGCAAACAGGG
rnacentral:rRNA from 1 species